rnacentral:rRNA from 1 species
ACCCGUUGAUCCUGCGGGAGGUUGCUGCUAUUGGGAUACGACUAAGACAUGCAAGUAUUCUAGCAAUAGAUGCAUCAUGCUCAGUAACACGUCGAUAAUCUGCCUUUAAGUCUGGAAUAACCUUGGUAAACUGAGGGUAAUACCGGAUAGGGGAAAGAUACUGUGAUGUUCUUUCCUUUAAAGCUUCGGUGCUUAAAGAUGAGUCGGCGGUGGAUUAGGUUGUUGGCGGGGUAAUGGCCCACCAAGCCGAAGAUCCAUAGGGGCCUUGAAAGAGGUAGCCCCGAGAAGGACGCUGAAAUACUGGUCCUAGCCCUACGGGGUGCAGCAGUCGCGCAACCUUGUCAAUGCACGAAAGUGUGAACAGGGAAUCCCAAGUGCUCAUGUUUUGCAUGGGCUUUUGCCAAGAGUUAAUAUCUUGGCGAAUAAGUGGUGGGUAAGACUGGUGCCAGCAGCCGCGGUAACACCAGCGCCACGAGUGGCAAUCAUGUAUUUGGCCUAAAGCGUCCGUAGCCGGUUUGGCAAAUCUUCUGUGAAAUUAUGCAGCUCAACUGUACAGCGUGCAGAAGACACUACCAAGCUUGGAACCGGGAGGGGUACAGAGUAUUCCAGGGGAAGCGGUAAAAUGCUAUAAUCCCUGGAGGACUACCUAUGGCGAAGGCACUGUACCAGAACGGAUUCGACGGUGAGGGACGAAAGCCAGGGGAGCGAUCCGGAUUAGAUACCCGAGUAGUCCUGGCCGUAAACGCUGCGAGCUAGGUGUUGCGCAUUCUACGAGAAUGCGCAGUAUCGUAGUGAAGAUGUUAAGCUCGCCGCCUGGGAAGUAUGGUCGCAAGGCUGAAACUUAAAGGAAUAGGCGGGGGAGCACAACAAGGGGUGCGGCGUGCGGUUUAAUCUAAUUCAACGCAGAGAACCUCACUAGGGGCGACGGCAGAAUGAAGGCCAAGCUGAAGACUUUGCCAGACAAGCCGAGAGGUGGUGCAUGGCCGCCGUCAGCUCGUGCUGUAAGGUGUCCUGUUAAGUCAGGCAACGAGCAAGAUCUGCGCCCAUAAUUGCCAGCGGAUUCAUUGAAUGACCGGGCACAUUAUGGGGACUGCCCUGGAAACAGGGAGGAAGGUGCAGGCUACGGUAGGUCUGUAUACCCCGAAUCUCCUAGGCUACACGCGCGCAACAAUGGUAGAGACAAUGGGCUACGACUCCGAAAGGAGAAGUUAAUCCUCGAAACUCUAUCUCAGUCUAGAUUGAGGGUUGGAACCCACCCUCAUGACAAUGGAAUCCCUAGUAAUCAGACGUUAGCAUCGUCUGGUGAAUAUGUCCCUGCUCCUUGCACACACCGCCCGUCAAACCAACCGAGCAGGGUUUGGGUGAGGACUAUCUUUUUAGAUAGCACGAAUCUAAACUCAGUGAGGUGGGUUAAGUCGUCACAAGGUA